GGUGGCAACAGAGCAGGGGUCACACCCGUUCCCAUCCCGAACACGGAAGUUAAGCCCUGUUUCGCCGAAGAUACUUGGCGGGUGACUGCCCGGGAAAAUAGGGCGCUGCCG
rnacentral:rRNA from 1 species